CCAACUCAGAUCUCCCCCCUCCCCCAGCCCUAAACCACCCUCACCUCUGUUCUGGCCUCCUCAGAGUGCCCUGACAGGACCAGGACAUGCGGGUGUCAUAGCUGCUCUUUUGGCUCCUCCUGCUGGGGUUUCCCAGCCAUCAAGCCACACGUAUGGGAAAUGAGGAAAAAGAAGAGUGCCAGAGAGACACAUGAGUGAGGAGCUGGCCAAGAAACACCUGGGCCUAGAGAACCCUUUCUGGAGAGGUUAAUAUGGCUGCAGCACAGCAUCAUCAUUUCUCAGGAUUGCCCUACUCACCCUACAUCAUGGUUGACUCUUCAAGACCACUGAUGGGUUCCUGGCCACCUCCUCCAUCAGGCUGUCUGUCACCUGGGAGC